CUGGCCUCAAGUGAUCAGCCUGUCUUGGCCUCCCAAACAUUACAGGCGUGAGCCACCAUGCCCCACCGGUUAUGUGCUUUCUGACACAGAUGAAUAUGGGUGUACAUGGUAGCCGCUUUGUACCUUUGUCCUUGGACUUUGUUUUACAACUUUGUCCUUGAUUUUCUCCAUGCGUGGAUUAGGAAAAAACACUGUGGAGCAAGGUCUUCGGGCACUAAACAAGGAAAUUUUCUUCUUUGGUACAGAAUUAGAGACUGCUGGAUUGGCUUUUGCAGAGGAUCAAUGAUUAUAGAAUCAAAUGUAUUCCACAUGCACCCUACUAUAAAUUUUAUUCCUACAACAUCUUGAAUUUAAAAAGCCAGACCAUAUUAAAUAUUCACCAACAAGAACUAUACCUAAGAUACGCCUUAGAUUUUUAGAGAUGAUUGAUUAUAUAAAAUAUCAAACUUAGCAGUCAAAAGUCUUAGUGACAAACAGUGGAGCCUCAGUUUACACAAUAUAAACCUGAAACAGUUGCUAUGAAUCUUGUACUUGUAAAAUAAAACCAAAGUUAUGAUCGACAGAUGAAGGUGAAAUUGUAUUUCUGAAUCACCAAUGGGACUUCCUCACUGCUGGUGGUCCAGCAUCUUGGAAGGGAGGGGAGGGGUUGGAGGAUAUGCAGAGAUGGAGGACAUAUAGUUAGAGAAGGUCCCACAGGUUAUGCCGAUGUGAACGCCUACCCCCAAACCCACACAGUUUGGAAGUUCGUUAAUUUAAAUCAGUGGUUUUUCUAAUGUCAUCUCCCAAGGGACAUUUGGCAAUGUCUGGAGACAUUGUUGGUUGUCGCAACUGCAAGAGGUACAGGUGGGAGUAACUGGUAUUUAGUGAACAGUGGGUAGGGAUGCUGUUGAGCACAUGCUCAAGACAGCUCCCACAACAAAGAAUUAUCUGGCCAAAACGUCAAUAGUGCUGAGGCUGAGAAAUCUGAUUUAAAGAAACUCUGGAUCAAAGGUUGGCAGGCUACCACCUGUGGGUUAAAUCUGGCCCACUGCAUAUUUUUGUAAAUAAAGUUUUAUAGGAACAAAACCAUAUACAUUCAUUUUUGUAUUGUCUAUGGCUGUUUUCAUACUACAAAGACACAGUGGAGUAGUUGUGACAAAGAUUAUGUGACCCGCAAAAUCUAAGAUAUUUAUUAUUUUGCCCUUUACAAUUGAGCACUUUGUAAUGUAAAUAAUCAUUUAAUUUUUAGGUAGAUUUAAAUGAAAAUUAGGUGAUUAUUAGAUAUUUAAAUGGUUCUGGAUUGUCUACUUGUGAGUCAUUGUUAAUUCUUAAGGUUCCACUCUUAAAAUUUGUUCAACUAAAAAUCAUAGUAAUAUUCAAUGAAGUCUAUAUCCAAGAGGUUCUGUGGUUCUAGGUAGGAUGGGGCCUCAAUUGUAUAUAAUUUUACGUGAUUUCCUUUUUUUUUCUUUUUUUUUUUUUUCUUUUUUUUUUGUGACAGAGUCUCACUCUGUCGCCAGGCUGGAGUGCAGUGGCGUGAUCUAGGCUCACUGCCUCCCGGGUUCAGGCAGUUUUCCCUCCUCAGCCUCCUCAGUAGUUGGGACUACAGACAUGCGCCACCACACCCAGCUAAUUUUUGUGUUUUUAGUAGAGAUGGGGUUUCACCAUGUUGGCCAGGAUGAUCUCUAUCUCUUGACCUCGUGAUCCUGGUCCUCCCAAAGUGCUGGGAUUACAGGCUUGCGCCACCACUCACGGCCUGUGAUUUCUCUCUCUUUUUUUGUGUGUGUGAUGGAGUCUUGCUCUGUCGCCCAAGCUGGAGUGCAGUGACGCUAUCUCGGCUCACUGCAAGCUCUGCCUCCCGGGUUCACGCCAUUCUCCUGCCUCAGCCUCCUGAGUAGCUGGGACUACAGGCACCUGCCACCAUGCCUGGCUAGUUUUUUGUAUUUUUUAGUAGAGACAGGGUUUCACCGUGUUAGCCAGGAUGGUCUCGAUCUCCUGACCUCGUGAUCCACCUGCUUCGGCCUCCCAAAGUGCUGGGAUUACAGGCAUGAGCCACCAUGCCUGGCCUAUGAUUUCUUUAAGAAAAAAAAUUAUGAGGAUAAAAUUGCAUAUUUGCUUAUGAUGAGACAAUAAAUCUCAACAAAUUGUUGGAGCCUUGCAUAUUCAAGUCCCUUUCUUCUGACACCUGUUUGGUCGCUUUUCCAGAAGUGCUUGCAUCAAACUGCUUCCUGAUUGCAUCCUGCCAUACCUUCUUCUAGAACACCAAAUCACAGCAAUUCUGAGCACCCACAGGGUGCUGCUGCAACCCAGGGACUUUGAGCUCUUUGCCCACUUCCCUAUAUAUUCAAUUCUGCACAAAUGUGUCUGGCAGGACUUUUUUUUCAAUGAUUAACCAGCACCUGAAAGUCUGGGCUUUGAUUCUGGCUUUGCCGCUCAUUUGCUGUGUGAUCUUGGGCAAGUGAGUACGUCUCUGUGUCUUACUUUACUACACAGUGAGAAUGUAGACUGUUCCUUUAAGUGUCUAAUCUCUUUAAGCCAUCGCUCAAUUUUCUUUCAUUUCAAAAAUUUGAAUUAUCUUGGAUUUGUCUUAGAAACUUUUUAUUAUCUGUUAUAUUGCCAUUUCUCUGCCAGUUAAAGGAAAAUUGGUAUCUUAAGACCAAUAUUCUUUUUCAGUUUCAGCUCUAUUCUAUCCUAGACAUUUAAAUAGUUCUGAAUUGUCUGCCUAUGAAUCAUUACUAUUCCUUACAGUUUCUCUCUUACAAUUUAUUCUACUAAGCCUGCUCCAUCAAAACAUACGUUUUCUUCUUUGUGGCUUAUUUUUUAUGCUUAGAAAUAUGCUCGAUGCACUCUAUGUAAGAAGGUCAAAUAAUUCAGCUGUGAGAAUCUAAGAGAAAUAUCUUUUUUCUCUUGAGAUUUUUCUGAACAUGCAAAGGACUACAAAUCUUAUCUAUUUUCCCCCAGAUUAUCAACAGAGUUUUAACUCCAUUGUUCAUGUUUCAAACAUGAAUAAUCCCCUCACUGGAUUUUUCAUCCAAAUGAGCUCUCUAACACAUAACUUUAAACUACAGUCUAAUUUUAGUCUGGGUAUUCAGCUCAAGAACUAAAGAACUGCCACUUCGAGUUAGGCCAAGGAUUAAUCUUGCCCAAACUACUAACUCUGACAAUGGCAC
rnacentral:lncRNA from 1 species